GAGGAAUGCAUCAUCGUGCAGAUUUUGGUGUUUUCUUCACUACGGCCCUGAGGAGUUCAUCGUGCAGCUUGUGGUGUUUUCUUCUACUUGGCCCUGAGGAGUUCUGCACCAUCCAGCCUUUGGUCUUCUCCUCACCAUGUUUUCAAUGAGGCCCCGAGGAUUGCUUCUGCGUGCAGCUUCUGGCGUGUUCUUCAUUGCGGCCCAUGACGAGUUCUUCAUCGUUCAGCUUCUUGGGAUCCACGUUUCCUCUUUAGGAGAGCUUCAUCGUCCAGCUUUUGGUGUUUCUCCACUGCAGCCUCUGAGGAGUGCCUUCUUGAGCAGCUUUUGGUGUUUUCUUCACUGCGACUUGAGGAGUGCUUCUGCAUCCAGCUUGUUGUGUUUCCUUCACUGCGUUUCCACUGAGGAUGCCUUCACUGUGCAGCUUUUGGGGUUCUUCACACCAUGUUUCCCCUGAGGAGCGCUUCAUCAUUCAGCUUUUUUGCGUUUUCUUCGCCGUGGCGCUUGAGGAGUAAUUCUUCGUGGAGCUUUUUGUGUUUUCUUCACCUUGUGGUCCCUGAGGAGUUCUUCAUCGCUCAGCUUUUGGGGUUCUCUUCACUUUGGGACUCCGGAGGAAUGCAUCAUCGUGCAGAUUUUGGUGUUUUCUUCACUACGGCCCUGAGGAGUUCAUCGUGCAGCUUGUGGUGUUUUCUUCUACUUGGCCCUGAGGAGUUCUGCACCAUCCAGCCUUUGGUCUUCUCCUCACCAUGUUUUCCAUGAGGAGAGCUUCAUCGUGCCGCUUUUGGUGUUUUCUACAAUGAGGCGGUUUUUGGCAUCUACCAUGUCUGCAGCCAGACCGACAGCUCCGUGCCUGAUGUGUGAAGAAGCACAUUCUUCUGUUUGUUUUCAGUCUGCCAACCGAUCAUUUCAUGUAGAGCUGUCUUUUUUGUACUAGGAGGUGCCAUGUUCUGUCAUGCUGCUAUAAAUCUCUUUCAAACCCUUUCCGAGUUCUCUUGCCUCAUUUUAUACCUUUUAUAAAUAUUCUUUUAUAAAUAUUACUAAAUUCAGAUUGAGAUGAGACUUCAUUUAUAACAAAAUGAACUGUUUCAUAUCUCCAUAGGUAUUUCUGAUACCUGCAAUAGUCGUUUGGUUGUUUUGGUUGUUGUUGCAGUAGAUGUACCAAGAACAAUAUUUUUAUUUUUAUGAUUUUUUUUUUUUUUUUUGGUUUUAAGUGGACAAUGUUUUGGUUUAGAUAAAUUUGUUUUGUUUUUUUUUUUUUUUUUUUUUUUUAUCCUCAGAAGUCAGAGAAAAUGGACCUACAGCAACACAUCAAAUCCUGGUAUUUUAAAAGUGGUGAAAAAGACAAAAACAUAUCCCAUCCAUCUCCAUUCCCUAUAAUUCUGUAAGCCACAACAUAAACGCCAUUGAUUUUGCUAAGAUCAAUAUUGAAUCUUAAUGAGUAAAGUCUGAGUGAGAUACGGUGGGUUCAACAUUCACUUUUGGUUAAAUAAAUCCCAUCCAUGGUUUGGCA
rnacentral:lncRNA from 1 species